rnacentral:rRNA from 1 species
GCAAGUCGAACGAGAAAGGGCUUGCUUGCAUUCCUGAGUAGAGUGGCGCACGGGUGAGUAACACGUAGAUAAUCUACCUUCAAGCCUGGAAUAACUAUUCGAAAGGAUAGCUAAUACCGGAUAAAGUAUUUGGUCAUAAGAUCAAUUAUGAAAGAUUGCCUCUUCAUGAAAGCAAUUGUUUGGGGACGAGUUUGCGGACCAUUAGUUAGUUGGUGGGGUAACGGCCUACCAAGACAACGAUGGUUAGCUGGUCUGAGAGGAUGAUC